GACGAACGCUGGCGGCGUGCUUAACACAUGCAAGUCGAACGGAAAGGCCCUGCUUUGUGGGGUGCUCGAGUGGCGAACGGGUGAGUAACACGUGAGUUACCUGCCCUUGACUUUGGGAUAACUUCAGGAAACUGGGGCUAAUACCGGAUAGGAGCUCCUGCUGCAUGGUGGGGGUUGGAAAGUUUCGGCGGUUGGGGAUGGACUCGCGGCUUAUCAGCUUGUUGGUGGGGUAGUGGCUUACCAAGGCUUUGACGGGUAGCCGGCCUGAGAGGGUGACCGGCCACAUUGGGACUGAGAUACGGCCCAGACUCCUACGGGAGGCAGCAGUGGGGAAUAUUGCACAAUGGGCGGAAGCCUGAUGCAGCAACGCCGCGUGCGGGAUGACGGCCUUCGGGUUGUAAACCGCUUUCGCCUGUGACGAAGCGUGAGUGACGGUAAUGGGUAAAGAAGCACCGGCUAACUACGUG
rnacentral:rRNA from 1 species